rnacentral:rRNA from 1 species
GGGGAAUAUUGGGCAAUGGGCGCAAGCCUGACCCAGCAACGCCGCGUGAAGGAAGAAGGCUUUCGGGUUGUAAACUUCUUUUGUCAGGGAAGAGUAGAAGACUGUACCUGGCGAAUAAGCCACGGCUAACUACGUGCCAGCAGCCGCGGUAAUACGUAGGUGGCAAGCGUUGUCCGGAUUUACUGGGUGUAAAGGGCGUGUAGCCGGGAAGGCAAGUCAGAUGUGAAAUCUGGAGGCUCAACCUCCAAACUGCAUUUGAAACUGUGUUUCUUGAGUAUCGGAGAGGCAAUCGGAAUUCCUAGUGUAGCGGUGAAAUGCGUAGAUAUUAGGAGGAACACCAGUGGCGAAGGCGGAUUGCUGGACGGCAACUGACGGUGAGGCGCGAAAGCGUGGGGAGCAAAC